ACAAAUCCACUAACAAUAAACAAUUCAAAAUAUCCCAAAUUAAUUCAAAUAAUUAAACUGAAUAAAAUAAAAGGAUUUAAAUAAAAGUUGAAAAUAAAAAGAUGUGGUUUCGAAAUUAGAAAAAUAUAAGAAGCAGAGAGACUUAAACAGCAAUUAAGUUGCCCUAAAUUUCAAAUUUGAAAAGAAAUCGAAAAUGUUGGGGAACAAUGUUGGAAUUAGCCCCUGCGGCGCCCCCUGUUAGCAACAUCAAAAGGCUGAGGUUCACGGCACCCAUGGUGGCUGAGGACUGCUGAUCCGAUUUAUAUCCUUGUAAAUGGGCUGCAAACUUUAAAAUUACGCUCAAAAGUAAAAUAAAAAAUAAUAAUAAUAAUAAUAAAAAGAACAAUUAGGUUGCAAGUUAACUUGGGCUACAAAAAAUUUCAGAGCAAAUUCGAGCUUCAAAAAGCAAGUGGGCUUUAAAACCAUUUCGGGCCUUAACAGUUUAUCUAACAUUUAAUUUUGGUUUUAAAAAAUAACCUGAUUUGGGCUUUAAGCCCGAAAAACAAUUGUAUUCAGAAUUUUCUUCUCCUUUUUUUAAUUUCUAAAAACAAAUUUUGUUUUUAUUUCAAACAAACUUUUAAUUUUUAUUAUGAUUUCUAUAUAUAUAAUUCAUAAAACUUAAUAUAAAUCAAAUUUGAAAUAAUUAAAAUUAAUUUCAAUUUAAUUGAAUCUAACUUAACUCGAAAUUCAAAUUUUAAAAAAUAAGGCAAAAAGAAAUUAUUUUAGCCUUGAAAUAAUCUUGCUUGAAAAUUGAAUUUCCAACAAUUUGAUUCAAUUAAAUUACCUUAGAAUUGAAAUAAUCUUGCUUGAAAAAGAAAUUCAUGUCCCUUUCAAAACUUUGAAACCCAAGUCGUAAAUUAUGAAUCUUGGACAAAAUUAGAUGUCUACUCCAAGUAUGAUGGUUGAACUGUAGACUUUCAAUACACACAAUUAAUUUGGUCAAAUAGUGGAAUGUAAAAAAAUAUUUCACCGAAUAUUUUGGACAUUUGAUAGUGGUGUUUGUGCAUUUCCAUGUUGCAAGCCCAUUGUGUAAAUAGAUGAGACUUGGAUGUAUAUACCCAAAUACUGUUGAUUGCCAUUGCGCAAGACCGGGAUCAAAGAAUCUUGCUAAUACCAUUUUCCAUCAUUGAGAAAGAUGACAUGGGAUAAUGGGAAUUUUUCCUAAGAAACUUGCACUUGUCUAUAGUUAAACCGUCUCAUGUAUGUUUGAUGUCCUAUUAUGGUAAAGGCAUUCUAUUGGUAAUAAGGUGAUGUGGUGGUAUGUGGAGCCCAUCAAAUACUUAUCACGUGCACUGCUUCCAACACAUUGCUUGCAAUUUUAUGAGACAGUUCCACAAUGCUGACGAGGAUGAAGUUGUUAACAUGGUUACACGCUUGAUUCUUAAAUCUAUAGCUGGUAUUUAAUGUUUUUCUCCGUACUAAUAAUUAAUUAUAACCAAAAUUUGUUCCAAGGGUACGAGCUCCAAAGAUUUCAAUUUCAUCAAAGGAUGAAGAAGUUACGAGUGAAACAUUUGCGAGCUAGGCAAUGGCUCGAUAACAUCCCCCUUAAGGCUUGGGCUCAGUCAGACGAUGAAGGGCGCCAAUACGGGUAUAUGACUACCAACUUGAUGGAGGCCGUGAAUUUCGUUAUGAAAGGGACGUGUCAUUUGCCAUCACUUCUAUGUUUACUUUGACUUUUUGGUAAUUGUUUGCGACGAUAAAAGAGAAAUAUCAAACAUUGAUGAACGUUGGUCACACCUUCUACAAGCAACUAUUACGAACCAUGGAGGACAAUCGUAGAAAAGCACGCUUGAUGUUAGCUAAAUGUGUAUUGUGUGAAUAUGAAACUUUUAACGUGUAUGAAUUUAUAAUGCAACACACAGCUUUUCUAAAUAUGUUAUAUGGGGUAGACCUUAGCAAAGGUGGUUUGAUUGCUAGAGGUUUCAAGCACUCUAAUACUCGUGUUCUCAUGUGGUUAUGGCAUGUGUACAGCCCAAUUUUGGCCCGAGCUAAAGAACAAAGCCCAAAUGAAUUAAACCCACCCCAAACUAAACCCAACAGACCCUAGCCCAAACAAAAAAACAUAACCCAAAUUAACCCUAGCCCACAAAACUAAACAGCAAGGGAAAGGAAAAAAUUUAGGUGUCGCACCUAGGUCUCCUUAGUCCCCUCUAUCAGCGUGCACUUCGCUCGAAGGUAAACUCUCCUGGCACGCUAGCACCAAAAUGGCCACCUGCCUUCGUUGACCGAACGCAACCUGUAGAGGAAAACCAAAAACAGCAAAGAAACUAAGCAGCAGAAACAAGGCAAAUAACAGUAGAAAUAUGUAGCAAACCUUUGGUAUUCGGCUAUAAAGCCACCGAAAAGACGAUUGUAAAAAGGGGGGAAAACAUUGUAUUUAAACACAAUCAAAAAAAUAGAAAUAAAAAAGAAACGAUUUUGCUAAAGGUGAUUUACUAUUUAUAUUCUGUUGAUUUCUUUAUUUUCUUUUUAAUAUUCUUUUCAAAAACAAAUAAAUGAGAAGAGCAAAGGAACCUACUUGCGGUUUCGACCAUCGGAGACCCUUUCUCCGGCGUGGAUAUCGAACCAAGAGACGCCUCUCUUUUUCGUUGUUCCCGAGCCAUGAGCCACGAUGGGUGGAGGCGCAUGGGAUGAGGCCCUUGAGUCGGCCAAGCAAAGAAAGGAAUGGAAGAACUUUUAAGUUUUUUUUUUUUUUUUUGGAAUUAGUGUUUCAAAUGAGGGUUUUGAAAAAUUUUGGAAACAACACCGUUUCGUCUAGUCCCAAAAUGCUUCAAAACGGCACCGUUUUGAAGUCAAACCCGAUGACCCGACCCGAUGUCCUCAGGGAUCCGCGUGUUUUUGCGGAGAGGGGGUAUUUUCACGUUAAGUCCCUCCUUUUGGCAUUGACAUUCAAUUGGGCCCAUUUAUAUUUUCUUUAUUUUUUUAAAUUAUCUCUGUAAUUUGCACAUAAAUUCAAUUUAGUCCGAACCUAAACGCUGCGUUUUGGGGGCAGGGAUUAAUUUCCCAAUUGAUCCUUGCGCUUUUACGUGCAUUAUAUUUUGGUCCUUGUACGCAUAUUUCUUUGUUUUUCUUCCUAAUUUUAUUUUUCUUCUGAUUUAAUCCCUAGUUCGUUGGAUUUUAAUCCUUUUUUAUAUAUUUGUUAUUUAUUUAUUUAUCUUAAUAUUUUAGGUAUUGUUUAUUUAAAAUCGUUUUGUUCCUUUUAUUAUUAUAUAUUAUUUGAUUCAUUAAAUAUUAUCUCUUAUGUAUAUUAUAUAGUUUUAAUAUUUUUUAAUUGUAAUUUAAAAUUUGUUAUAGUCUUU
rnacentral:lncRNA from 1 species